CUACGGGUCGCUGCAGUGGGGAAUAUUGCACAAUGGGCGCAAGCCUGAUGCAGCCAUGCCGCGUGUAUGAAGAAGGCCUUCGGGUUGUAAAGUACUUUCAGCGGGGAGGAAGGGAGUAAAGUUAAUACCUUCGCUCAUUGACGUUACCCGCAGAAGAAGCACCGGCUAACUCCGUGCCAGCAGCGCGCGGUAAUACGGGAGGGUGCAAGCGUUAAUCGGAAUUACUGGGCGUAAAGCGCACGCAGGCGGUUUGUUAAGUCAGAUGUGAAAUCCCCGGGCUCAACCUGGGAACUGCAUCUGAUACUGGCAAGCUUGAGUCUCGUAGAGGGGGGUAGAAUUCCAGGUGUAGCGGUGAAAUGCGUAGAGAUCUGGAGGAAUACCGGUGGCGAAGGCGGCCCCCUGGACGAAGACUGACGCUCAGGUGCGAAAGCGUGGGGAGCAAACAGGAUUAGAUACCCGCGUAGUC
rnacentral:rRNA from 1 species